CCAAGAGAAAGUCUGGUUGGAAGAAAAGGAAUAAAUUUGCUAAUAGGUAGAAGAAAAAGAGCAAGUCAAAGAAUAUUUCAAAAAAGACUGAAGCAAAGUAAAAGUAUUUUCACUGUGAUGCUGAAGGCCACUAGAGGAGGAACUAUCCACUUUACCUUGAAAGCCUAAAGAUCAAAAAGAGUGAUAAACUUUCAAAAGGUAUGCUCGUAAUAG
rnacentral:lncRNA from 1 species